AUAUUUUAAAGCAAAUUUCAGAUAUGAUUUUCUUACAUAUAAAUAUUUCAGCAUAUAUCUUCAACGGAUAAGGACUUUUUGCUUUAAUAUAACUACAACAACAUUAUCACAUCCAACAAUACAACAAUAAUUUUUAAAAUCAUCUAAAAGACAGUGUCUGGUAUCCAGUUUCUCCAACUGACUAUAAAAAUAUCUUUUUACAGUUUGUGUUUUCAAAUCAAGAUUCAAACAGGGUCCACAGAUUGCAUUUGGUUAAUAUGACCCUAAAGAACCUUUUAAUCUAUAAAGGCUUCUUUUUCCUUUUAUUCUCCCUUAUUUAUUUGUUGAAGAAACUAAGUCCUUCAUGUAGACCUUCACAGAUUUUAGAUUAAGCUAAUUGUAUCCUUUGAUGGACAUAGGUGUUCCUCUAUCUCUCAUAUUUCUACGAAACUGGGAGUUAGAUGUGGAUCCGUACUGUUUAUAUGGUAGCCACUAGUCACAUGUGGCUACUGAGCAUUUUAAAUGUGAGUUAGUAUGAAUCGAAAUGUGCUGUGAGUGUAAAAUGCACAACCAGAAUUCAGACUUAUUACGAAAAGAAUAGAAUGUUGUAAUAAUAUUUUUAUAUUGAUUAUAUAUUAAAAUAUUUUGGAUGUAUUACCUGAAAUAUAUUUUAAAAUUAAUUUCACCUCUUCAUUUUUACUUUUUUUUUUUUUUGAGACAGAGUCUCACCGUUACCCAGGCUGGAGGGCAGUGUCGUGAUCUCAGCUCACUGCAACCUCUGCCUCCCGGGUUCAAGCGAUUCUCCUGCCUCAGUCUCCUGAGUAGCUGAGAUUACAGGUGCGCGCCACCACGCCUGGCUAAUUUUUUGUAUCUUUAGUAGAGAUGGGGUUUCACCAUGUUGGCCAGGCUGGUCUUGAACUCCUGACCUUGUGAUCCUCCUGCCUCGGCCUCCCAAAGUGCUAGGAUUACAGGCAUGAGCCACCGCACCCGGCCCAUUUUGACUUUUUAAAUGUGCUUACUGGAAAAUUUUAAAUUACAUAUGUAGCUUAUAUUUCUGUUGGACAGUGCUGAAGUUUUCAUUAGAUUCAGAUGGAAUUUUUUUCUUUUUUAACAAGGGUUCUUCCAUAGUGAUGUGGCAUACUUCUCCUUGCAACCCAUCUGGGGGUGCAUAAUAUCCAGUUGCCUUACUGGUAGGGUUGUUAAGAUUGCCCCAUGGUAAGAAAGAGAAGAGCUGGCCUGGAACUCACAGCUAAAACCUUGGUGUUCUCCUGUUGAACAUCACCAGCUUCACAGAAUACCAGCAUAAUGCAGGACCAAUCUGUGACUCUAAUGGAGCAAGAUAAAACAAGACAAUACCAUAAUCAUAUCUGAGUGCAUAUAAAAAGAAGUACAUUGUCCAAACCACAAAACACCUGUCUUUCUUGGCUAAUAUAAAUGGCUAUUGCUUCUUUACCAUUUACAGGUUUAGCUUUACUUUGUUCCUUCUGCCUUUUAGAUGAGAAUUACUAAAAUAUCCAAUAAUAGACUCACCCGUGCUUCCUGGCAGCAUCCAAUUAAGAGCAAAGCUCUGUUUCCUUAAAUUUCCCCCAAAUCAUCCCCACAAGCCCAGACCUUAUAAAUCCUUUCUAACACCUUGUUGAGGCUGCAUGGCUCCCUUUGGCAUACAUUUUCUUUUGUUGCAGUGAGGCAGUGAACACAACAUUUGACUAAAGAUGUGUUUGGGGCGUUGACAGUGCGGUCAGGUAGUGUUGGCCUCAUCCUUCCAUUCUAAAGUAUGUUGGAUAGAUUUUUAAGGACAGGUACAACUUUAUGCAACUAAAUGUUUUGGGAAUUACACAGUUGGUACCUAUUUGUGACUAUUGUGAUACUGGACAUAUCGGUUCAAACAAUUAUUGAAGCUAUUUUACAAACAGACCUCAGCCCAUUUGGUUAUUAUAUUAGUUUGCUAGGGAUACCGUAAAAAAGUACCACAAAAUGGGUGGACUUAAAACAGCAGUGCCAGGCUGGGUGCGGCGGCUCACACCUGUAAUCCCAGCACUUUGGGAGGCCGAGGUGGGUGGAUCAUGAGGUUAGGAGUUCAAGACCAGCUCGGCCAACAUGGUGAAACCCCGUCUCUACUAAAAAUACAAAAAUUAGCUGGGCAUGGUGGCAUGUGCCUGUAAUCCCAGCUACUCAGGAGGCUGAGGCAGGAGAAUUGCUUAAACAGGGACCCAGGAGGCGGAGGUUGCCGUGAGCCGAGAUUGCACCACUGCACUCCAGCCUGGGCUACAGAGCGAGACUCCGUCUCAAACUUUGCAUCCUUCAAUCUAAUCAAGUUGACACUCAAUAUUAACCAUCACAGCGGCUAAAGAAACCAGACCCAUCAGAAGGACUGGCUGUCCCCAAACCAGCAAACAGCAUGCUUUCAAAGGGGAGAAAGCAUUACCAAAAAAAAAAAAAAAAAAAAAAGCCUUACGAGAAACACCGUUACAAAGACAGGAGUAAAAUCAAACUGUCACAUAUGCUUAAAGCAGUAAGUAAAAAUACAGCAUUAAAAAAAAAAACUUAGAAUUUAGAGUAAAAACUUCAAGACGCUUUCAUGUCAUGGGCCAUGGGGGUCUCCCCGCUCGGUCUUUGGGGACCCAUGUGGCGGAGAGGUGAGCAUCCACUGUGCCUGCCCACCAUGCUGCCUGGGCUCAAAUGUAACAGUACAUGGUACCCGUACAUGGUGCCCGAGGGCUCACUCCCCGCAGGGACUCAUGGCAAGUGGCCACUCAAUGGCCUGCUCCCUUCAUGAGCUUUGGCCAGUAACACCCAUGGGUGGUUGGAGGCAAGGAUACCCCUCUCUUCUGGGGCCCUCGAACACGGCGGCAGGGUGUGGCUUGCCCGCAGGAAGCUGGAGGGAUACGCCUGGAAGGCACUGGCCAAGGCUUUUGGUCUCUCCUAUCAUGUCCCGGGCUCCCCGACGCCCCCAGUUCAAACCGGAAGGAGCUCUCCUAGAAUCCAGCCUCCCUGUCCCACACCCGGAAUUGUGCCAGGCUGCAUCUGUCCUCCAAGAGCCAGGCCCAGGGCUAGGUGUGGCGCGUGGGCGGCUCCUCCGCGCAGGCCUGGUCAGAGUAGGGGGCAGCGGUGACUGCCCCUCUUGCAGCCUGUAGGCCAGGUGGCUGCGGCUGCGCUUGACCUCCGUCACGCAGAGCUCCAGCAGGACCUUAGCGGGCUGUUUCUCCACCUUUUCCCUGGGCACACCGCGGCUCAGCAGCGGCCCUUGAGGUCCCUGCGCAUCGAGUUGGGCCCCAGCGUGAGCUUGGCGCUGCCCCGCUGGCCCUGGCGCCCUAGCAGGCCGCUGUCGGGGAGGCCUGGAUCUCCACAACGGCCUCCAUCACCGUCACGCCCUUCACCAGCAGGCUGGCCAGCAGGAGACGCAGCUCCGAGGGCGCCGCCAUCGGCGUCGGCAAGCGCCUGUGCAGGCUCUGUGUGAAGAGCAUGUCCUCGGGCGGCACUGGCUCAGGAGCAGAGGGCGCUGGAGGGGCCGAGGGUGGCUGGCAGGAGCUCCAGUCGAUGCCCACCUCCAUGGUGGUCCAGGGCCGGAAGGGCAGCUCGGUGGCCUCGAAGUGAAAGGAAGACAGUGCUGGCGCAGGCCGUCAGCAGCCCGGCCAGCAUUGUCAGGCAUCCGUUGCCCAGGAGGGCCUUGCAGUGGUUGUUGAAGACGGCGUCGUGGCUCAGGUUGCCCAGCAGCACCAGCUCUCCAGAGUUCAGAGACAGGGCAGGGUCCCCCUGGUGGAAGACCCGCAGGAUUCAGGAGAACAUGAGCUCUAUGGAGUUCUGCUUGAAGCACCGAGAGGUGGCCAGGAGGUGGGUGUACGUGUAGUACGAGCAGAACCGAUCCCCCGACCCUUGUGGGUGGUCGCUGGUGCUUUCUUAGCCAUGAGCGUGGCAACUCCUAGGCAGGGAACAGCAGAGAGCCCGGAGGGACGCGAGAGCAAUGGCCGGGCCCUUCAGCACCUGGAGGAACCACCUUUGGAAGGCAGGAAUCGUCCUUGCCCCAUACAGCUGUAGAGGAUUUGGGCCAUCUGCUCUGUGACUGCUUUACAGACAAAGCAACUGAGGUGCAGGAGAACAAUCGCUUGAUGAACAUCUCCAAGCCCACGAACAGCAGAGCUGGGAUUUGGACACAGGCCUGUCUGACUAGUUUUCCACAGCUACGAGAUGGGUUUUGUAUGUAAAUCCUGAGUGCCAUUGUUGGCAUAUAAAUUAAUUCCAAGAGAUAUCUAAUAUGAAGCCAACCUAGAUAGUGAGAUAUUUUAGACUUGGAUGGGUCAGGGAGUGGAAGCAAGGUUCUUACCACAAUGGGGGUGGUGGGUGGCCCUCAGCUUGAAGCUGCACCCAGCUCUUACUCUCUCCAAGGCCUAGAUGUGGCUUCUCAAUUAAAUUUAUUCACCAGCCUCUCCCCAUCCUGGUUCUUGCAAACCAGAGAGGAGUUUUUAUUACUUGAACAAAUUUUGUUUUCCUUUUUGGAAUAGACUAUGAUCCCCCUCAAGCUAAGAGGAAGUUUGGGGACUUGAUCCAUAAUCAUCUUAAUCUAACAGACCCUCCCCAUCCCACCACUACUCUACACUCACCUUAUUAAGAAUGGGAGUCUCCGAGUUUGGGUAGGGAGGGUGACAGAGCAGAAGAGAGAAACACAGGAUGGGGAGUGGAGGCUAAAAGUCCUUACAUUUGGUUGUCUUUGUUUUGUCUUUGGGUUGUUGUCAAGAAAGAUUUAUGUAAUCAUCUUGAUUUAUAAGACUUUUAGUAUCACCGAGCAGUCUUUUUUAUUACUUCCGUCUUCUACUGGCCUUUUCUGGGCCUCUUAUAUUUUCAUCAAGCUAUUGGCAUUUUGUCCAAAUCAAUAGCAGUCAAAGAUCUCUUCCUUCCAUAUGCAGGCACAGUGUAUUUUACCUGGGAUUGGAGAUGAAGAAUUAUAGUCAUUUAGAAUCAAGAGAGAAUUUGAGAGAUAGCCUCUAGCCCAAUCUUAUUUUCAUCUUGGCCUACAGACGUUGUAAUGUAGCUGGUUAAUGGCAGAGUUGAGACAAAGACCUAGGUCAUCUCUUACUGAGUCCAUUAUUUUUUGCCAUAUUCUAUACUGCAUCACGCAUUCUUUCAUUCAAUAGUUAUAUUUUAGACACAUUGCUAUGCACUGGGGGAAGAGCAACACAGACAUGUUUCCUGUUCUUUUGAUCCAUAAUGAAGGAGACACAUAAUUAAACAUUCAGUGCAGUACAAAGUGAGGCACCUGAUCCCAUUAGUGGGAAGAUCAGGGAGGACGUCUUGGGGGAAAUGAUGGUUAAACUAAGAAUUGAAUAGAAAGUAAGAGUGGGGGGAAGGGCAAAGAGCAUCUCAGUAAGUGCAAAGAGCACAUAGAAAGGCCCCAGACAGAAGAAAGUGGUGCAUUUAAAGUAUUGAAAAGAAAUUCAGAGUUGUGGGGGUAAGCAGGGCUAGUUGAAGGAGGUCCUUGUAAGCCUUACUGAAGAGUGCCUGCUUUAUUCUAAGGGCAGUGGGGAGCUGCUGAAAAGUUUAAGCAAGAUUUUAACAUGGACCAGAAUUGCGUUUGAGAAGGUUCACUCUGACUGCCACAUGGAGAAUGGGUUGGAGGUGGGCAAGACCCAGGAAGAGAGACAAAUUAGGAGGCCCUUGUGCUAACCCAGAGGAGAUUGGAUGGUGGCUUUGACCAAGUUUGUUGCGGAGGGGAUGGAGAUAAAUGAUCAUAUUUCAGAGGCAUGGUAUGCCUGUGAUGGAUUGACCAUGGGAAGUGGUAAGCCACAUGGGUGCCAUACCCUGGGAAGGGCCCAAAGGCAGAGGAUAAGGUCUGAGAGUGAGGAAGGAGAUGAUCAUGGACAUAUUAAUGCUGAAGUGCCUUUGGGACUCACACACACAUCUGAAGUUGACAUGCCAAGUAGAUGCUUGUUGUGGGCUGAAUUAUGUCCUCUCAAAUUCAUAUGUUGAAGCCUAACUCUCAUCCCUCAGAAUGUGACUAUAUUUAGAGAUAGGGCCUUUAAAGAGGUGUUUAAGAUAAAAUGAGGCUGUUAGAGUGAGCCCUAAUCUAAUCUGACUGGUAUCCUUAUGAGUAGAGGAAAUUUGGACACACAGAGAGACAUCAGAGAUGUGUGCACACAAAACAAAGACCACUGAGCACAUAUCCAGAAGGCAGCCAUCUGCAAGCCAAGGAGAGAGGCCUCAGAAGAAACCAAACCUGUCAACACCUUGAUCUUGGAUUUCUAACCUCUGAAAUAUGGGAAAUUUGGGAACCCAGAGGUCAAGAUUCUACUGAAAGUUAAAUAAUUUCCCUUGGUACCUGCCUCUUUGGAAGGCACCUCCGGUCACAUCAGGAGCAUGGAUGGGGCCCCACCUGCAUACACAUGGAGAUGGACUCAUCCUCCAGCUACUUUGGAUACCGUGGCUCCCAUUUUUCUACUUUCUCUGAAGGAUUGAAGCCACCUUGCCCAGAAGUCACUGGGAGUUAUGCCUCCUCCCUAAGGAUGGCCCACAGCCAGUGCCUCAUUGGAGCAAGAGGUACAGAAGCCCUGCUCCCUCAUCUGAAGAUGGGGCAGGCUCCGCAGUGCAAUCCAUGCACCCGAGCUCCCAUGGCAUCAGACUGACAUUGCUGGAAGCCACAGUCUUCCUCAGCUUCUCCUUCCCUGUCCUGCUUCCCUCACUCCCUUAUGGUUUUCUCCUGAGGGCACUCCCUUAAUAAAUCACUUGCGUCAAGAAUCCACAUCAUGGGCUCUGCUUCUAGGGAAACUGGCAGUUCACAAUCUUAGAAUAUAUUAUAUAUUUAGUUCCUCUUUGGGGGUAAUAACUUUACCUGCCUGAGGGCAGAAGUAUUUAUAUUUCCUCUAAUAUUUAGCACAGGGCUUUGCACAUGAUAGGGGUUUGUUAACUUCUAGGAAUAAAGUAAUUUGAAUAAACUUGAGCUGAUCUUUAAAAAUAGGCAAAAACCAAACAUCAUACCUUAUCAGCCUGGUUAAAUAGGAGGAUUGGCCGGGUGCAGUGGCUCACGCCUAUAAUCUCAGCACUUUGGGAGGCC
rnacentral:lncRNA from 10 species